AUAAGAAUAGUGAAAUUUCACUGCCUUUUGGUUGCCAUCUUUACGGUUUUCCGCCGAUUAACGGUAUAGAUAAAUGCCCCGGAAGAUGCACCAUGGUAUUGGGAAGCCCUGUCUGAACCAGAUGGCAAAAGACGGCACUGUGUGGGUAGAGGAGAACAUUGGAAUGACCAGUGCAGUAGCAAAUCGCUCGUGCUUCACUGCGCAAGCUGGACCCACAGAGUCUUCUAAGCAUAAAAUUACAAGCGUGCUCCAAAGCUUCCUUUGCCCGUUAGACGUGGGAAUGCUGCAGACCAUCAGGGAGUGCGCGGUCCAUCAAGCCCGUAGAACAGAGCCAGACUGGAAUUUGACAAUUCACGAACUGAUGGCAUUCAUUUAAAUUCUUUUUGUAAGAGCAAUCAUGUGUCCCAUUGGUGCCAUUGUGGAUUGCUGGUCAGAAAGCUUUCUGGUGCCAGUAAUCAAAGAGACAAUCCCCCGAGAUAGAUUCCUUUCAAUUAUGCAACACCUUCGAUUUGAUGACAAGGACAGGUGGGCAGAACGGAUGAAAACAGACAAAUUUGCUGCGAUCUCCGACAUCUGGACACGCUUCACCAAGAACUGUGCUGAGAGUUUCACUCCAGGAGAACACAUGACCAUAGAUGAACAACUGUUCCCUACCAAGGUUCGUUGUCCAUUCACACAGUAUAUCGCAACCAAGCCAGACAAAUUUGGGAUCAAGUUCUGGAUGUCCACGGAUUUGGAGACCAAAUAUGUCUGCAAUGCAUCUCCUUACUUGGGAAAGGACCCCAGUCGUCAGAAGGAAGAGAGGCUGGCAGAGAGCGUAGAGAAAAUUGAUAACUGAUGGAGCCAUUUUUGAAUGAUAGCAGAAAUGUCACGACAGACAAUAUCUUUACUUCAAAGUCACUGGCGAACAGACUGCUGCAGUGCAAAACAAUGCUACUGGGCACGGUGAAUAAAGUCUGUCGUGAGCUCCCACCACUUGCAAAAGACAGUGCACAUCGAGAGGUAUUCUCCACUUCAGUGCUUAGAAGUGGCAGUGUCUCCUUGACAAUUUAUGCACCGAAAAAAACAAGACUGUGUGUGUUCUGAGUUCCACGCACCAAGACGUGAUGAUCGGUGACGGCAGAAAGAGGAAACCCAACACGAUAACAGACUAUAACCACAUGAAGAUGUGUUGGACCAAAUAGCGCGGAUGUAUUCUGUAAGAGCAGCAACACUCAGGUGGCCAGUAGCAGUUUUUUACAAUCUGCUGGACUUGGCGGCGGUGAAUGCCUACAUUUUGUACAAGGCAUGUAGAGGGUGGACAGGCAAAAGAAGAUUGUUUCUGAGGCUUCUUGCUAAGGAACUUUGUUGCCGAUUCAUGCAGCACAAGGAGAUACUGUAUUGGCACAGAGGCAGGCUGCUGAAGCUUCUGCAGUUGCUGUGCCAGGGAAGGUACAGACAAUGCAGUUCCAGGUGCAAGAGAGCUGCAACAGGAAUCGCAGCAGGUUUACCUGUGCAACAUGUGAAAAAUUCACCUGUGCCAAAUGCAGGGACAAUGGACACUGGGUCUGCAAACGCUGUAAAGUGUGAAACACUUUCAAAUAAAACAGACUUGUGUAUCCAUAGGGGGCACGGUGGCUUAGUGGGUAGCACGUUCGCCUCACACCU